UACGGGGGGGGCAAGCGUUGUUCGGAAUUACUGGGCGUAAAGGGCUCGUAGGUGGCCAACUAAGUCAGACGUGAAAUCCCUCAGCUUAACUGGGGAACUGCGUCUGAUACUGGAUGGCUUGAGGUUGGGAGAGGGAUGCGGAAUUCCAGGUGUAGCGGUGAAAUGCGUAGAUAUCUGGAGGAACACCGGUGGCGAAGGCGGCAUCCUGGACCGGCAUUGACGCUGAGGCGCGAAAGCCAGGGGAGCAAACGGG
rnacentral:rRNA from 1 species